ACGAACGCUGGCGGCAUGCCUCAUCCAUGCCAGUCGCGCGAACAUUUCUAGAAGCUUGCUUCUAUAAAUGUUAGCGGCGGAUGGGUGAGUAACACGUGGGCAACCUGCCCUGCAGAUGGGGAUAACUCCGGGAAACCGGGGCUAAUACCGGAUAAUCAGUUUGUCCGCAUGGACAAACUCUAAAAGACGGCUUCGGCUGUCACUGCAGGAUGGGCCCGCGGCGCAUUAGCUAGUUGGUGGGAUAACGGCCUACCAAGGCAAAGAUGCGUAGCCGACCUGAGAGGGUGAUCGGCCACACUGGGACUGAGACACGGCCCAGACUCCUACGGGAGGCAGCAGUAGGGAAUCUUCCACAAUGGACGGAAGUCUGAUGGAGCAAUGCCGCGUGAGCGAAGAAGGUGUUCGGAUCGUAAAGCUCUGUUGUGAGGGAAGAACAAGUACGGGAGUAACUGCCCGUACCUUGACGGUACCUCAUGAGAAAGCCACGGCUAACUACGUG
rnacentral:rRNA from 1 species